rnacentral:lncRNA from 1 species
AUUCUAGUCAGAGAGCUUGUUUCCUAAGAGGUGCUGCAAUCUUUAGGCAGGGGUGAUGUGGACUCCUUCAAAGAUUUGGGUCAUUGUGAAGGGCAGAAGCAGGUGGCAGACGGAGGACACAUUCCAUGGUUUCUGACAUUCCUCCAUUACAAUAACUCUGUCUACUACAUGUUGCAAUUCCAGAUAUCAUAUCAUAUAAUCAUCUCAACUCCAAAUAUGACGUUGGCACUGUUAUUUCCAUUUUACAAAUGAAGAGAUGAGGUUGAGAGGUAUCGUUUAUUAUCUUGGCCUAUAAGUACAUGGAAGAGUUGGAAUUCGAACUGAGAGCCAGGAUAUGAACUUACAAGUGCCUUGCUUUAGCACUGCCUGUCCCAGAAGGAUUGUACCUUUCUGCUUCUCCAGAAACUAACUAAAGAUUUUCUCACCUGCUGAGAGUUGAGGAUGUUGCUUCAGGCAUGUUCAGACUUCUGGAGGGGAGCAUUGACCUGAAACCACAGUGGGCUAAUAACAGUAACUUCCAAAAUUGAAGACUGAACCACAGCAGUCAAACUUAUCAACCUUUUGAUCAAAACCGGUGACUAAAAGGAAUAUGAAACCUGUGAUACAGUUUCAGAAAACCUUAUUUCAAAUCUUAUUCAUAUUAACAUGGCCACUGUCACAUGUGCUGAAAAUUGGUUGAGAGACCGUAAAUAAAAUGAACUGUUAUUCUGCAAUAA